rnacentral:rRNA from 1 species
CCUACGGGUGGCAGCAGUCGAGAAUCAUUCACAAUGGGGGAAACCCUGAUGGUGCGACGCCGCGUGGGGGAAUGAAGGUCUUCGGAUUGUAAACCCCUGUCAUGUGGGAGCAAAUUAAAAAGAUAGUACCACAAGAGGAAGAGACGGCUAACUCUGUGCCAGCAGCCGCGGUAAUACAGAGGUCUCAAGCGUUGUUCGGAAUCACUGGUCGUAAGGCGUGCGUAGGCUGUUUCGUAAGUCGUGUGUGAAAGGCGCGGGCUCAACCCGCGGACGGCACAUGAUACUGCGAGACUAGAGUAAUGGAGGGGGAACCGGAAUUCUCGGUGUAGCAGUGAAAUGCGUAGAUAUCGAGAGGAACACUCGUGGCGAAGGCGGGUUCCUGGACAUUAACUGACGCUGAGGCACGAAGGCCAGGGGAGCGAAAGGGAUUAGAUACCCCGGUAGUC